GUCCAGGAUGAAGCUGUGGUAAGACACAGUGGAGGUCCUAACCCACCGCCGUUGAAAAGUUGGGGGAUGAGGUAGGUUUAGGGGUGAAAAGCCAAUCGAACCAGGAGAUAGCUCGUUCUCUCCGAAAUGCAUCUAGGUGCAGCCUUGAGUGUUCAAUUAUGGGGGUAGAGCACUGAAUGAUCUAGGGGGCGUAUUGCUUACUGAAAUCAAUCAAACUCCGAAUACCAUAAUUUAGAGCUCAGGAGUGAGACUAUGGGAGUUAACUUCCAUUGUCGAAAGGGAAACAACCCAGACCACCAGCUAAGGUCCCUAAUUAUAACUAAGUGGGAAAGGAGGUGGAGAUUCACAAACAACUAGGAGGUUGGCUUAGAAGCAGCCAUACCUUUAAAGAGUGCGUAAUAGCUCACUAGUCGAGAGUCUCUGCGCCGACAAUGUAACGGGGCUAAGUUAUAAACCGAAGCUGUGGAAUCCGUAAGGAUUGGUAGGAGAGCGUUCUGUAGGCCGUUGAAGGAGAAGGGUAACCGACUCUGGAGGUAUCAGAAGUGAGAAUGCAGGAAUAAGUAGCGAGAAAGGGGGCGAGAAUCCCCCUCGCCGGAAGACCAAGGUUUUCAGGGUAAAGCUUGUCUUCCCUGAGUAAGCCGGGACCUAAGCCCAGGC
rnacentral:rRNA from 1 species